GAUGAACGCUAGCGACAGGCCUAACACAUGCAAGUCGAGGGGCAGCACAUGAGUAGCAAUACGAUGGUGGCGACCGGCGCACGGGUGAGUAACACAUAUGCAACCUGCCUGUAAGAGGGGAAUAGCCUCUCGAAAGAGAGAUUAAUACCGCAUAAUACAGAGAAGCUGCAUGGUUUUUCGGUUAAACAGUUAUGGCUUACAGAUGGGUGUGCGUAUGAUUAGCUAGUGGGUGAGGUAACGGCUCACCAAGGCAACGAUCAUUAGGGGUUCUGAGAGGAAGGGCCCCCACACUGGGACUGAGACACGGACAAGUCUCCUACGGGACGCAGCAGUGCGGGAUAUUGGUCAAUGGGCGUAAGCCUGAACCAGGCAACCCGCGUGCAGGAAGAAGGCGCUAUGCGUUGUGAACUGCUUUUCCAUGGGAAGAAAACUUCCAUCGAGAUGGGACUUGCCGGUACCAUGGGAAUAAGCAUCGGCUAACUCAGUGCCAGCCGCCGCCGUAAGAC
rnacentral:rRNA from 1 species